rfam:Flavobacterium sp. ov086 genome assembly, contig: Ga0070134_139
UUUUUACCGCAAAGCGCGUUAGGGAUGGAAGCGGUAUCCUUUUGUGAUACUCAGUACUUCUCGAAACACUAAAAAAACCUCUAUCAUAAAAGAUUUAACGAACAGCCCGACCCGGA